rnacentral:tRNA from 1 species
CCUUGUAUCAAACAACGAUACGGCACCAGAUUCAUACAUAUCAAGCGCUUUGCCUUGUGGAAUACCUUCAACCACA